rnacentral:ncRNA from 1 species
GCUGCCCGCAUGUGUCGCUGACGUCGUCAGCACCAUGCCAGCAGCCAGGGUCUCCAGGCUGCCGCGGGGUUUCCCCGUGCGACCCGAACCCGUCCGCCAUCGCAUCGAGUCCGCGGACAAGCGUCUUCGCGACG